UUGCUGYUUYGCUGACGAGUGGCGGACGGGUGAGUAAUGUCUGGGAAACUGCCUGAUGGAGGGGGAUAACUACUGGAAACGGUAGCUAAUACCGCAUAACGUCGCAAGACCAAAGAGGGGGACCUUCGGGCCUCUUGCCAUCGGAUGUGCCCAGAUGGGAUUAGCUWGUWGGUGGGGUAACGGCUCACCWAGGCGACGAUCCCUAGCUGGUCUGAGAGGAUGACCAGCCACACUGGAACUGAGACACGGUCCAGACUCCUACGGGAGGCAGCAGUGGGGAAUAUUGCACAAUGGGCGCAAGCCUGAUGCAGCCAUGCCGCGUGUAUGAAGAAGGCCUUCGGGUUGUAAAGUACUUUCAGCGGGGAGGAAGGGAGUAAAGUUAAUACCUUUGCUCAUUGACGUUACCCGCAGAAGAAGCACCGGCUAACUCCGUGCCAGCAGCCGCGGUAAUACGGAGGGUGCAAGCGUUAAUCGGAAUUACUGGGCGUAAAGCGCACGCAGGCGGUUUGUUAAGUCAGAUGUGAAAUCCCCGGGCUCAACCUGGGAACUGCAUCUGAUA
rnacentral:rRNA from 1 species